GACGAACGCUGGCGGCGUGCUUAACACAUGCAAGUCGAACGGAAAGGCCUGCUUUCCCUUGUGGAUUGCGGGUACUCGAGUGGCGAACGGGUGAGUAACACGUGAGUGAUCAGCCCCCAACUUGGGUAUAAGCCUGGGAAACUGGGUCUAAUUCCCGAUAGGACUGCAGGGUGGUGCCUGUGGUGGAAAACGAUUUUCUAGUGGUUGGGGAUGAGCUCGCGGCCUAUCAGCUUGUUGGUGGGGUAAUGGCCUACCAAGGCGGCGACGGGUAGCCGGCCUGAGAGGGUGGACGGCCACAUUGGGACUGAGAUACGGCCCAGACUCCUACGGGAGGCAGCAGGGGGGAAUAUUGCACAAUGGGCGGAAGCCUGAUGCAGCGACGCCGCGUGGGGGAUGACGGCCUUCGGGUUGUAAACUCCUUUCGACCGCGAGGAAGCCACCUGGUUGGAAGGGUGGUGACGGUAGUGGUAGAAGAAGCACCGGCUAACUACGUG
rnacentral:rRNA from 1 species